GGAGCUUCUUCCAGAAGAUGUUUGGAAUUAGGUCUCUGAACUUGCACAACAGGAGAAAUCUGGACGAUGGAUGGAUGGAUGAAUGGAUGGAUGGAUGGAUGCACUAACGGUACAACAGCAACUGAUGCUGCAACAACAACUAAUACUAUUAUUCCCUCUCUCUCUAUGUACGGUACAAUUUUUUAUGCGCUUGUUCUUAUUUUUCUUCGUUUUUUUUUUGCACUUAAUGACGUGUAACGAGCUCGCGCGCGUGUUUUGCAGUUGUCUUUGUGUGCGCGCUCUUUCUCUCUCUCCCUCUCUCUCUCUCUCUUGAUCCCCCUCUUUCUCUCUGCCCCUCCCUACCUUUCUUUGGUGAGCGAGCAGCAUACAUACAUAUACAUAUGUACUAGCGAUUGGCGGACUAUGCGCGUGCGAGCGAGAUGCCACACUUUGAAAAUAAACAGGUAAAAAGAAUAGGGUGUAAUGAUUCUGGACAGAAGCUUGAAACGACAAGAAGGAAGUGACUCCAUCUGUCCCUCAAUAUUCCACCAUUUUUAAGAUGAUGUCUCAAGGAGUUCUUCACAGAAUAGUUAUAAAUGUAGCGACACAACUGUAACCCACAUCUGCCACGGAACUAAUCGAACCGCUAGGGUAUCUGAGCGUCGGUCCCCCGAGCAACCCCUGUUCGAAUUCGAGGAUAAGCCAGCCGCAUAAGACAAAAUUUCGAACAACAAUCGAAAUGAGCGACGGCGAGGGGCAGCGCAGCAGCAACGACAGCGGCAUCGGCAGCGGCAGCAAGUCAUUUAAACGGUCAAUUGCCUCAGGCACAAAAGCAAAUGUCCGAAUGAGAGAGAGAGAGCUACAACAGCAGCCACAAAACAAAAAACUAAACGAAAAGAAGAGGCGGCACGGCACUGCAAGCGACGGGGAGGAAGAGGGACAACAGCUGACAGCUGAAAAGUGCAGGCCAAAUGCCGAAAAAAUUAAGCAAAUGUUUUUCAUAUUUCAUUUCUCACCUAAAAAGAAAUGUUGCCAUAACCAU